GGGAAAAAAAAAAAAAAAGAAAACAGAAAAAGAAACGGAGAUUAAAAACGAGAAAAAGGAUAGAAGACACGCGACGAAGCGUGUGUUCGCACGUGGGGUCGCGUGUCGUUCGAGACAGAGAUGGAUCGAACGAGAUACGCGUAGAAACGGAAUACGUAGAGAGAGAGAGAGAGAGAGAGAAUGAAGAGAGAAAAAUCGAAGUCAAGUGCGAUGUAAUAAUCGGCAUUAAAUAAAAGAAAAAAAAAAAGAGAAACAAAAAAGGCGCAGUGUAAAUAGUAGAUUCGUAAGGCUAAGUCCUAGAAGGCGCGAGUGGACGAGUUUUUUGCNNNNNNNNNNNNNNNUUUUUUUUUUCCGGAGAAAAACGAAACGCUCGGUGAGAAAGGAGAAAGUGUGCGAGAGAAAGAGAGAGAGAGAGAGAGAGAGAGAUACGUAAAGGGAAAAGAAUAGAGAGCGAAACAAGCGUGAAAAGAGGCGAAAAGAAAAAUAUAAAAAAACACACACACACACACACAGUGCGAAGAUAUACGCGGCGGGCCGCCGCCGACGUGUUGUUGAGACGCCCGCCCCACCCCCCUUAUGCCCCCCGUAGUACAGUCGACGCCGAGAGAAUUAUUAUCGGUGCAGGAGAGAGAUAAGGCAUAGAGAGAGAGAGAGAGAGAGAGAGAGAGAGAGAGAAUAAAAAAAAGAAGAAGAGGAAUAAAACGGUCAAUCGCGCGAGAAAUAAAAAAAAAAUAAAACGCAGCAGCAACAAGAACAACAAAUCUAGUGAACACUACACGCUUAAUGUAACAAUCCACGUAAAUACAUGAUACAUACACACACACAUAUGCGUUUUUGAAACACGGAAAUAUGCAUAAGCAGGUUGAACAUAGUUGAAAUGAGCGAAAAGUAAAAGGGAGAGCGAGAGAGAGAGAGCGAUAUAUUAGUAGAUAGAGCAAUCACUGCACACGCGAGGUAGGGAAACGAAGAGAGCGUCGCAAAAUAGGGAAAAAAAAGGAAGAGAGAAAGAGAAAAAAGAUGAAAAUCGUAGGGCAUGAAAAAAAGAACUGCUCGAUGGGCAUGCAGAAAACCGUUGUCUCGCUACUUUUUUGUGCGCAGCACCGUUCACCGAAUCCCUUAAUCACACCACGCAGACAAGAAAAAAAAAACAUGGAAACACGUAUGCACACGUAUGCACACACACACACACACACACAUAACACAACAACCCCGAAGAAGCUUCUAGUAGUGAGACCACUCUGUGUAUUUAUUGUAUUCGAGGACAAAGUCAUUCCCUCCCAUUUUUACGUACCGUGUACACGCAGCAGAGACAUACACAUACACACACACACACACAGAUACACGAGAACACGCGCAGCACACGCUCCCUCGACUCGUUUUUUGACCCUUGAAAUCCUUCUUGCUGUCAUUUAUGCUACACACAUACACAAUACCUUUGAAACGAACACCCCCUUGUUUCCUUCCUGCAGCAGAUUAGCCAGAUCCCCGCUUAGAGAGCCAUCCAGAGAGCCUUGUGAACAGUUGUCAUCCGAAUCGUUGUAGCCUUAAGCCAAAACUGUGUGUAUCGCACACAUUAAACUAUGCGGUAUCGCAGUGUGGCGCAGCAAUUUUUUCCGCUAUUCUUCGACAGAUCGAACUCUUGUCUCUUCAGCAAAUCCCCUCUCCGUUUGUCCAACUCUCCGUAUAAUUGCCCAUUAUUACGUCCUUUACGUCCCAACACUUUUAACAAGAGUUAUCCCGAAACCGUUUUCUCAGACCCGAUCAUCCCCCCUUGUGAGUCCUCAAUAUGAGCCCUGGAUAUGUCCCCCGCAAGCGAACUAGCGUUGAUAUUCGUAAUACUUGUUAUGCAUAAACUACACAUAAUGAUUAUUAUAGUAAACGAUACAUAAAGUAUGAUAUAUUUCUCUAUCCAUUAAGAAAAAAAAAAGGAAGAUGCAAGUAGCUGUUGUUUCUUGGUGGAAACAAGAUGAGAAACAAAGUGCAAGGCAGAGCGCAACAACAACAAAGAGUAUAGGGAGAGAAAAAAAAAACGUAAAAAAAAAAAAAAAUAAUAAA
rnacentral:lncRNA from 1 species